rnacentral:lncRNA from 1 species
UGCUGAGCACCUUCUACAUGCUAGGCACUGUUCUAUGGACUGAAAACACAUGUGUGAAUAAAACAUAAGUAUUCCUACCCUCAUUGGUUUGGCUGUUUGUGAGGGAGACAGUCAGUUUAAAAAUCACCAAACUGAUAAAUAUGGAGUUUGAGAUGCUUAGUUUUGAGGAAUAAUUUUCAUGCAGUAAAAUGUACUCUUAGUGUAUAGCUCUCUGAAUUCAGACAAACACAUACAGUCAUAGAUAAACACCACCACUAUAAAGAUACAGAUGGGUACCAUCACCCCCACAAAAGUUCCUCAUUCCCAGUCCCUGGCAACCAGCAAUUGAUUUUCUACCCCUAUGAUUCUGCCUACUCCAUGAGGUCAUUAGGCAUUCUAAUAGGUCAGUCGUGAUUUCAGUUUGCAAAUCCCUGGUAACUAAUGGUGUUGAGCAUCUUUUUGCUUGCCUAUUUGCCAUCCAUAUAUUUUCUGUGUGGAAUGUAUGUUCAAAUCAUUUGCCUGUUAAUUUAUUGGAUUAUUUUGGCCGGGUGUGGUGGCUCAUGCCUGUAAUCU